UUAUGUAAACAUUGUCCC
rnacentral:snRNA from 1 species